AAUUACCCAAUCCUGACACAGGGAGGUAGUGACAAGAAAUAACAAUACAGGGCUUAAAGUCUUGUAAUUGGAAUGAUGGGAAUCUAAACCCUUCCCAGAGUAUCAAUUGGAGGGCAAGUCUGGUGCCAGCAGCCGCGGUAAUUCCAGCUCCAAUAGCGUAUAUUAAAGUUGUUGCAGUUAAGAAGCUCGUAGUUGAAUUUCUGCCUUGUCGUUAAAUUCGCUUCCGAGCGUUUUUUUAUUGACUUGGCAUCUUCUGGAUUUGGUUCCCUUCGGGGUUCUAUUUUCCGGGAUUUACUUUGAGAGAACUAGAGUGUUUCAAACAGGCAUUUGCCUUGAAUACUACAGCAUGGAAUAAUGAAGUAGGACUUUGGUUCUAUUUUGUUGGUUAUUGAGCCAGAGUAAUGGUUAAUAGGAGCAGUUGGGGGCAUUCGUAUUUAA
rnacentral:rRNA from 1 species